rnacentral:tRNA from 1 species
UGGGGCAUAGCCAAGCGGUAAGGCAGCGGUUUUUGAUACCGUCAUCCUAGGUUCGAAUCCUAGUGCCCCAGCCA